rnacentral:lncRNA from 1 species
CAGCCGGAACACCACUAACCCACGCACGCCAGCCAGCCGGAGCACCACUCACCCACCCACCCACACAUGCCAGCCAGCCAGAACAUCACUCACCCACCCACGCCAGACAACCAGCCAGCCAGAUCACCACACACCCACCCACGCCAGCCAGCAAGCCAGCAGGAGCUCAACUCACCCACGCACGACAGACAGACAGCCAGAGCCGGAGCACCACUCACCCAUGCACACCAGCCAGCCAGAGCCGGAGCACCACUCACCCACCCACGCACGACAGCCAGCAAGCCGGAGCACCACUCACCCACACACGCCAGCCAUCCAACCAGAGCACAAGUCACCCACCCACGCACACCAGCCAGCCCGUCGGAGCACCACUCACCCACCCACGGCAGCCAGCAAGCCAGCCGAAGCACCAAUCACCCACGCACACCAGGCAGCCAGCCGGAGCACCACUCACCCACCCAUGCACGCCAGCCACCCAGCCAUCCAGAGCACCACUCACCCACCCACGGCAGCCUGCCAGCUGGAGCAGAACUCACCCACCCACGCCAGCCAGCCAUCCAGCCGGAGCACCACUCACCCACGCACGCGAGCCAGCCAGCCAGCCCGAGCACCACUCACAGACCCAAGCACGCCAGCCUGCCAGUCGGAGCAGAACUCACCCACCCACGCCAGCCAGCAAGCCAGCCGGAGCACCAGUCACCCAUGCACGCGAGCCAAGCAGCAAGCAAGACCACCACUCACAGAUGCACGGAUGCGAGCCAGCGAGCCGGAGCACCACUCACCAACACAUGCAUGCCAGCCAGGCAGUCAGCCGGAGCACCACUCACCAACGCACUCCAGCCAGCGAGCCGGAGCACCACUCACCUACCCACGCCAGCCACCCAGCGAGCCGGAGCACCACUCGCCCACGCCAGCCAGCUGGCCGGAGCACAACUCAGCCAGGCACGCCAGCCAACCAGGCAGCCGGAGAACCUCUCACCCACCCACGCACGCCAGCAUGGAAGCCGGAGCACCACGCACCCACGCAUGCCAGCCAGCCGGAGAACCA